rnacentral:rRNA from 1 species
UACGUAGGGUGCAAGCGUUAAUCGGAAUUACUGGGCGUAAAGCGUGCGCAGGCGGCUAUGCAAGACCGAUGUGAAAUCCCCGGGCUUAACCUGGGAACUGCAUUGGUGACUGGCAAGCUAGAGUGUGGCAGAGGGGGGUAGAAUUCCACGUGUAGCAGUGAAAUGCGUAGAGAUGUGGAGGAAUACCGAUGGCGAAGGCAGCCCCCUGGGCCAACACUGACGCUCAUGCACGAAAGCGUGGGGAGCAAACAGG